rnacentral:rRNA from 1 species
GAUGAACGCUGGCGGCGUGCCUAAUACAUGCCAGUCGAGCGAACGGACGAGAAGCUUGCUUCUCUGAUGUUAGCGGCGGACGGGUGAGUAACACGUGGAUAACCUACCUAUAAGACUGGGAUAACUUCGGGAAACCGGAGCUAAUACCGGAUAAUAUUUUGAACCGCAUGGUUCAAAAGUGAAAGACGGUCUUGCUGUCACUUAUAGAUGGAUCCGCGCUGCAUUAGCUAGUUGGUAAGGUAACGGCUUACCAAGGCAACGAUGCAUAGCCGACCUGAGAGGGUGAUCGGCCACACUGGAACUGAGCCCCGGUCCAGACUCCUACGGGAGGCAGCAGUAGGGAAUCUUCCGCAAUGGGCGAAAGCCUGACGGAGCAACGCCGCGUGAGUGAUGAAGGUCUUCGGAUCGUAAAACUCUGUUAUUAGGGAAGAACAUAUGUGUAAGUAACUGUGCACAUCUUGACGGUACCUAAGCAGAAAGCCACGGCUAACUACGU